rnacentral:rRNA from 1 species
AUACGUAGGGGGCAAGCGUUGUCCGGAUUUACUGGGUAUAAAGGGAGCGCAGGCGGAUUCGUAAGUCAGGGGUGAAAUCCUACAGCUUAACUGUAGAACUGCCUUUGAUACUGCGAGUCUUGAGAUCGGAAGAGAGAGACGGAAUUCCAGGUGUAGUGGUGAAAUACGUAGAUAUCUGGAAGAACACCGAUGGCGAAGGCAGUCUCUUGGUCCGUAUCUGACGCUGAGGCUCGAAAGCGUGGGGAGCAAACAGGAUUAGAUACCCCAGUAGUCC